GUUUCCGUAGUGUAGUGGUUAUCACGUGUGCUUCACACGCGCAAGGUCCCCGGUUCGAUCCCGGGCGGAAACA
rnacentral:tRNA from 1 species